UACGUAGGGGGCAAGCGUUGUCCGGAAUCAUUGGGCGUAAAGCGCGCGUAGGCGGCCCGGUAAGUCCGCUGUGAAAGUCAAAGGCUCAACCUUUGAAUGCCGGUGGGAUACUGUCGGGCUAGAGUCCGGAAGAGGCGAGUGGAAUUCCUGGUGUAGCGGUGGAAUGCGCAGAUAUCAGGAGGAACACCGGAUAAGCGAAGGCAGCUCGCUGGGACGGUACUGACGCUGAGGCGCGAAAGCGUGGGGAGCGAACAGG
rnacentral:rRNA from 1 species